CAAACGAUCACUGGGGGAAGUCAGGGCAGGAACUUAAGCGAGAACUGGAGAGAAUCCAUCAAGGAACACUACUUGCUGGCUCACUCUCAUCCUUGCUCUGAAGCUCCUGCUCAGAUGUCUGAGAUUCUUUGAUCUCAGUAAUGGAGAGCUGGUGGAGACGCCCUGAGUGCUGCAACAGUUCCAGGACUUCCUCAACCACAGCGGUCACUAGUUCCAUCUGAAACAGCCCAAGUGAAAGCUUGACAGGUGAACAUGGGCCCAGUCUUCCAGGGAUGUGAGUGCCCGAGUGACAUAUGGCAUCCCAGGUGGCCUCAGCUGGGAGAUACAGAAGGGGAUCCCUACCACACCCUCCUCUACAGAAACCACCUCUGAAGCUGAAGACUCAGACUCCUCCCCUCUCCACCCCUACGCCCCACUUCCCAGGAUACAACCUGUAACCACAAAGCCACAUAAAACAAAUCAGUCCAACUGAAAUGGCAGCAUGGGGCUGUGGGCACUAGACUGUGGCCAAAUGAACUACCCUGUUCCUAUCUCUUCGAAGCACUCCACUUUCAGGAGUCAACAGCUUCUCUAAGCAUAUUCCUUAGACCACUGUCCCCCAAUGACUCACUUGGAUGCCUCCUGAUGGUGCUGUUUGUGGAAGUCCCAGAGCCUUUCAGAGGUAGAGCCUUGCUGGAGGAAGCAUGCCACCAAGAUUGGACUGUGAAAGUUUACAGUCUCAUGCCAACUUUCAGAUUACCCCCUCUGCUUAGUGUUUAGGGGUAGAGGUGUGAUCUCUCAGCUCCCUGCCCCAGGUACCUGCUGCUACGCCUCCCUAUGGACUUUCCCAAGCCAACUCUUCCUUCUGUAAGUCACUCCUGGUCGUGGUGUCUUAUCACAGCGACAGUGAACACCUGGCGUGUGAUCUCCCACCAUCUUUCUAUUACCCACCCUGCCAGCAGGAAUUCUACGUGGAGAAAGCAAGUAUAAAGGGAAACUGUGCUUCCCAGGGUGGCUAACUGCGUAUGUGAUGGCUAUUCCUGGUUGUCAACUUGACUGCAUUUGGAAUGAACUACAAUCCAGAAAUGGAGGGCCCACCUGUGAUCCAGAUUUUGAAGCUGGAAAACACAGGCUUCUGACCCAGAUCUUGAUGUGGAGAUCUUGAGGCAUAGUAGCCAUGAAAAGCUUGGGCCCAGGCAAGGUACUACAUGCCUUUAAUUCCAGGAGACUGAGGCAAGCAGAUCUCUGAGUUCAAGGUCAGCCUGAGACAAAGCAAGUCCUAGAUCCAGGGGUGGUGGUACACACCUUUAAUCUGGCCACACCUUCUGCUGGAGACCUGCAUGAGAACAUUAGAAGGAAGUCUCUUCUUCACCUGCUUGCACUUACAUUUUGGAGCCCAUUUCUUCAGGACUCCAGUCUAUACAGAAGACCAGCUGAAACAACUAGCCUCAUGGGACUUCUCAUUCCCAGCUGCCCAUUGUUGGGUUAGUUGGACUACAGACUGUAAGUCAUUACAAUAAAUUCCCUGGAUAUACAGAGACGUUCCGUUAGUUCUGAGACUCUGGGGACCCUGACUAAUACGACCUAGGGUCACUUUCUCCUGCAUCAUUUGUGCCUGGCUCUCUCCAGGCAAGCUUCUGCUCUUGCCCCCCACCUGGUCUUCUCAAGGUCACAGUGUCUUCUGUUGUCGGGCAGUUCUCUCCUUGUUCAACCUUUGCUCCUCUUCCCUACAUGCUCAGGACCACUCUGCAGGUGACCUCUGCUCCUGGCUCUCAGAGCACCCUCACAGCUUCCCCCUGCCCCCUGCCUCUGCUGGCUUCUCUCCCAGAUCUUUUUACCCCAUUCCCACUUCCUGCAGGUCCCUGAGCUGGCUUCCUCGGCCACAAUUCGAUAGUCAUGCUAUGUGCUCAGUGAUUUCACUGUCUCUGGACUUUGAACAUAUUUAUGUGUCAAAAGGCAAGCUUUAAGACUCAAAUUUAGGCCUUGUCUAUGUUUGUACCUUUUCCUUGCUGGUGCUACCCCUCAGGAUGUAAAUCAAAUAGAACAAGUUGAAAAGCAAGCUUCUGAUUUCCCUUUUUCCAGACCUGAUUCUCUCCUUGUCCCCAUCCUAGGCCUUGAAGCCUCUUUUUCUGCCUUCUGUAUCUAGGCUAUAUUGAGCUGAUCUAAAUACUUUGUAAAGGUCAACAAGAUUGUCUAAGAACAUUAAACCAUUCCGAAGCCCAUGCUUUA